UAAUCCAGCAGAUUGACGGAGACGCGAAGAAAAAGAUAGAAAACAAGAUAAUAAAGACAUCACUGCCCGUGCACUUGCACUCAACAAUUACAGCGCGCCGCACGAAUCAAUUUGAAAUGCUUAAGAAUGUCCUUCUCAAGCAGAAUGUAUUAGGGUUAUACUGGCAUAUAAAUUCAUUUACUCAACAAAGUUUACCGUCUCUCCGUCAAGCAAACAGGCAAAGAAGGUAAAGCUCUCGCUUCAGCUAAAUAAACCACUUCAACAAAAGUUGUGCUGAAGCAUUAAACGAUACUGCCCUCCCCCCUAUAUAAAUGCAGUCAUCAGGAGCCACAAAACUGGGGUUCAGGCGCUGGGGGAAUGGCAUUGUGGGGCAAAUGGAAGCCUUCUAAACAGUUUCACAGCAUAAAGGACCCCCUUGUAAAAAACCAAGGACAGAAUGCGACACCAGAAAUUAAACCAGAAGCAGCCGUUUCCAGGAGCCAUUGCCCUUCGCUGGAGCACUUCAGAACAAAUUACUGUAAAGCCAUUUGCGACCAAGACAUUUAGCGAAUCACACCCAUAAAACCAAUUUUGCUCCAGAAAUGUUUGUGACCUGUUGCAAUACACGAAGUAUGUAUUGUUAGUGGAAUUUGAUUUCGUGCCAAAAAUAUUAGCAGUUUUUUUUUGUUUGUUUGUUUUUGUUUUUUUCACACGCGAAAAACCCACAAUAAAAAGGCUUGCAAAUAUUACAUACGACAGCAAACUAACUGCGACUGUCGCUGUUGAAGUGGGCUCCAAAUGCACUGAUGGAGAAUGGUCACAGAUACUGCUGACAGUGAAUGACUUUAGAUAAACAUAUUCUCUGCCAGGUCCGUACCUACUGCACUCCUACCGCUGUUCCAUGUUACUCAGUUUUUCUCUCUCUCUCUAUAUAUAUGUGUGUGUGUGUGUGUGUUACAUACUGUGACGGGUAACACCCCGCCCCUGUGCAUAUCAUGGUUUGGAUUAUUUUGUAUUUGUAAAAUACAGGGCGGACGAAAAGCUAUACGCAAUUACUGUUAUUGUUUGUAUUUUAUAUUUCAGUACUCUCGCGAGAAUGCGUGACUGAUCAGCCAGCUACUGAUUAUUGAAUUAUCUGCCAGUCACGAAGAUUAUUAAACUCGGACAUAAUAUAAAAUACCUGCAGCUUUUGGGCGCACAGAGGAGGUACACAAAAUAUAUAA